UGUGUAGGCUGCUACAUAAGUCGGAUGUGAAAGCCCCGGGCUCAACCCGGGAAGUGCACUCGAUACUGCGUAGCUUGAGUCUCGGAGAGGUUGGUGGAAUUCUCGGUGUAGAGGUGAAAUUCGUAGAUAUCGAGAGGAACACCGGUGGCGAAGGCGGCCAACUGGACGAAGACUGACGCUGAGACACGAAAGCGUGGGAGCAAACA
rnacentral:rRNA from 1 species